rnacentral:miRNA from 1 species
ACUUACGUGAGUGCGUGCGUGUGCGUGUGUGUGUGUGUGUGUGUGUGUGUCAGCGCCUCACUUCAGCACACCC